rnacentral:lncRNA from 1 species
AAAAUGAAUAUUUGUCACAGUAAAUGAAUUAUUGAGUUUGAAUCAAACGAAUAUCAUGGUAAUCUUGUCCUAAAAACUAUUCAAGACAUUCAAAUCGCCUCCACUCCAUAAAACCCAUAACUCUUCCCUCAGUUUGAAACUUCCCCAAUUUAAAAGUUUCGCGUCCUUCCAGCCCCGUCAAUUCUCAAAGAACUGCAAUUCUCAGAGAACUGCAAUUCUCAUUCCUUCUUCGUUCUAGAUCACGACGGCAUGAAAUGGAUCUAAAUGAGCCUGCAAUCGAAGAGUUACGGAUGAUCCUCGACUCAAAUCAACUGACAAACAAUGAGGCAAGUGAGGUAAGUAUUCAAUCAAAUAUAAUUCUGAAUAUUCAUCUGUCUUCUGUCGAUCACAAUUGUUGGCAGUGACAUUCAUAUUCAUACAGUCCAACUCGGUUCCACAAGAAUCAGUAUAACAACAAUCCUUUGUUAACACCUCAGAAAGAAGUACAAUGGACAAACAAUAAAUUUUGCAGGGACGAAGCUACAUUAUGAUGUUAGGGGGCAACCCCUACAAACAAUCUCUGUAGAGUAGUGGUAUUGUUGUUGGUUUUUAGUUUGAGGGCACUGGUUCAAAACCCAACUGCACGCCUCCAAUUAGCAGUAAUAAAGUCAAUCCGAUCCACAUAUAUGUAUUUCCAACCGGCACAGAUUGUAUCUUCAAUCCUAUCUCACCACAAUUAACAUGCUCAUGAACCCCAAGUUCCAUAACGAUAUAAAAUGCACUUUCGAAAUCAAACAUUUUCAACACUAACUUCUAACUCGCCCCUUGGCAACCCAUAAUCAAACUGAACAGUAGUUUUGGUCAACAUCAAAUCUUGACCAAAAAGAAGGUGAAUGGACUUACUCCUACCAUCAUAAUGCAGUAGUAACUCAUCCACAACCCGACUACAGAUUUGGUGCAGCCGACUAGAAGCAAAUGCACCAAUUCCAUACUCUUCUGCAACUACAAUCUUAGCUGCAUCCAUGUGCAAAAAGCUCUUGCAUACACUGUUUGUAGCACAUCAACUUGAAAAUUUUGGUUGACAUCUAAAUAAAAGCAAUGCCUUGUGAGUUAUGAUCGCUCACUGAAAGUACCAAAAAAAAACAUGAAUACUUCUUCCUAUCUAUGAUUUCUAUAGAGACUUCAAACAAACAAGUUAUAAUUCUCCAACGUUGUACUACUACUGCCAACUAAUACUCUAGUUUUUUACCUAUAUAGCCGCAUUCUAGUAUAAACUCAAAGACCAACGUUACAUAGUAAACAUGCUCCAAUAUGUUUCUGUCAUCACAAAAAUGUAUAGUAUAUCUCCAGAAUACAUCCCUGGAUCAUGAAGAAGCUUCGAAUGUCUCCGGCCGCCAGUCGCCUUUCUGUGCACUAAGUACACCUUCUUGGUUGUUGGACAAGGUAACCUCCCAAUGCAGAGACUUGAGUAUGCCCUCGACUUCCUGUAUCGUAUUUGUUUCGUCUCGAACGAUGAACUUACCUCCCGGUCUGAGUAUUCUGUCAACCUCUGCCACUACAGGUACAAGUUUGCACCUGUAAAAACUCAUAGAGCACAAACUCGAAGUCAGACUCGUGGCUUUUCAAGUCUAGGAGAAUAAAGAAGGACGCCAUUUGGAAUUUUUGUUAAC